AUUAACACGAGUUUAAAUAACGCGUUUUUGAUUUACCACAAGUUGAUAUUUAAGGAGAUACGUUUAACUAACGCGAUAUGUUCAAUUUAACAUGAGUUUCAUCAAUGACGUCAUCGCGCAGAGACGCUGUCUUUCUCCUCAAGGGGAGCAGGUUAUCUCAUUUAUCACAUUUACCGACAUACAAGGGGUGUAGGUUAUCUCAUUUAUCACAUUUACCGACAUACAAGGGGAGCAGGUUAUCUCAUUUAUCACAUUUACCGACAUACAAGGGGAGCAGGUUAUCUCAUUUAUCACAUUUACCGACAUACAAGGGGAGCAGGUUAUCUCAUUUAUCACAUUUACCGACAUACAAGGGGAGCAGGUUAUCUCAUUUAUCACAUUUACCGACAUACAAGGGGAGCAGGAUAUCUCAUUUAUCACAUUUACCGACAUACAAGGGGAGCAGGUUAUCUCAUUUAUCACAUUUACCGACAUACAAGGGGAGCAGGAUAUCUCAUUUAUCACAUUUACCGACAUACAAGGGGAGCAGGUUAUCUCAUUUAUCACAUUUACCGACAUACAAGGGGAGCAGGUUAUCUCAUUUAUCACAUUUACCGACAUACAAGGGGAGCAGGUUAUCUCAUUUAUCACAUUUACCGACAUACCUCAUUUGCUGACAUACGAAGGGUGCAGAAGAAACUUUCAUAUUUCAAGCAAUUUUCAAAUUUAAAACAUACGUCAACAUUUACUUUAAAAAAAAAAAAAAAUUAAAAACUCAGGUGGGA